rnacentral:tRNA from 1 species
GCGGGAUUAGCUCAGUGGUAGAGCGUCUCCUUUACACGGAGAGGGUCGGGGGUUCGAAUCCCUCAUCCCGCACCA